GACGAACGCUGGCGGCGUGCCUAAUACAUGCAAGUAGAACGCUGAAGGAGGAGCUUGCUUCUCCGGAUGAGUUGCGAACGGGUGAGUAACGCGUAGGUAACCUGCCUGGUAGCGGGGGAUAACUAUUGGAAACGAUAGCUAAUACCGCAUAAGAGUAGAUGUUGCAUGACAUUUGCUUAAAAGGUGCAAUUGCAUCACUACCAGAUGGACCUGCGUUGUAUUAGCUAGUUGGUGGGGUAACGGCUCACCAAGGCGACGAUACAUAGCCGACCUGAGAGGGUGAUCGGCCACACUGGGACUGAGACACGGCCCAGACUCCCACGGGAGGCAGCAGUAGGGAAUCUUCGGCAAUGGACGGAAGUCUGACCGAGCAACGCCGCGUGAGUGAAGAAGGUUUUCGGAUCGUAAAGCUCUGUUGUAAGAGAAGAACGAGUGUGAGAGUGGAAAGUUCACACUGUGACGUAUCUACCA
rnacentral:rRNA from 1 species